rnacentral:rRNA from 1 species
AGAGUUUGAUCCUGGCUCAGGACGAACGCUGGCGGCGUGCCUAAUACAUGCAAGUAGAACGCUGAAGAGAGGAGCUUGCUCUUCUUGGAUGAGUUGCGAACGGGUGAGUAACGCGUAGGUAACCUGCCUUGUAGCGGGGGAUAACUAUUGGAAACGAUAGCUAAUACCGCAUAACAAUGGAUGACACAUGUCAUUUAUUUGAAAGGGGCAAUUGCUCCACUACAAGAUGGACCUGCGUUGUAUUAGCUAGUAGGUGAGGUAAUGGCUCACCUAGGCGACGAUACAUAGCCGACCUGAGAGGGUGAUCGGCCACACUGGGACUGAGACACGGCCCAGACUCCUACGGGAGGCAGCAGUAGGGAAUCUUCGGCAAUGGGGGCAACCCUGACCGAGCAACGCCGCGUGAGUGAAGAAGGUUUUCGGAUCGUAAAGCUCUGUUGUAAGUCAAGAACGGGUGUGAGAGUGGAAAGUUCACACUGUGACGGUAGCUUACCAGAAAGGGACGGCUAACUACGUGCCAGCAGCCGCGGUAAUACGUAGGUCCCGAGCGUUGUCCGGAUUUAUUGGGCGUAAAGCGAGCGCAGGCGGUUUGAUAAGUCUGAAGUUAAAGGCUGUGGCUCAACCAUAGUUCGCUUUGGAAACUGUCAAACUUGAGUGCAGAAGGGGAGAGUGGAAUUCCAUGUGUAGCGGUGAAAUGCGUAGAUAUAUGGAGGAACACCGGUGGCGAAGGCGGCUCUCUGGUCUGUAACUGACGCUGAGGCUCGAAAGCGUGGGGAGCGAACAGGAUUAGAUACCCUGGUAGUCCACGCCGUAAACGAUGAGUGCUAGGUGUUGGAUCCUUUCCGGGAUUCAGUGCCGCAGCUAACGCAUUAAGCACUCCGCCUGGGGAGUACGACCGCAAGGUUGAAACUCAAAGGAAUUGACGGGGGCCCGCACAAGCGGUGGAGCAUGUGGUUUAAUUCGAAGCAACGCGAAGAACCUUACCAGGUCUUGACAUCCCGAUGCUAUUUCUAGAGAUAGAAAGUUACUUCGGUACAUCGGUGACAGGUGGUGCAUGGUUGUCGUCAGCUCGUGUCGUGAGAUGUUGGGUUAAGUCCCGCAACGAGCGCAACCCUUAUUGUUAGUUGCCAUCAUUCAGUUGGGCACUCUAGCGAGACUGCCGGUAAUAAACCGGAGGAAGGUGGGGAUGACGUCAAAUCAUCAUGCCCCUUAUGACCUGGGCUACACACGUGCUACAAUGGUUGGUACAACGAGUUGCGAGUCGGUGACGGCGAGCUAAUCUCUUAAAGCCAAUCUCAGUUCGGAUUGUAGGCUGCAACUCGCCUACAUGAAGUCGGAAUCGCUAGUAAUCGCGGAUCAGCACGCCGCGGUGAAUACGUUCCCGGGCCUUGUACACACCGCCCGUCACACCACGAGAGUUUGUAACACCCGAAGUCGGUGAGGUAACCUUUUGGAGCCAGCCGCCUAAGGUGGGACAGAUGAUUGGGGUGAAGUCGUAACAAGGUA